GCCAGGUGUGCUGUUUGGAUAGCCUGCAAAGAAGCUGGCCGCCCCACCCUAAUCUUUUACUAUGUAUAUAAGUUCUCUACCUGGCUGGCACCACGUUGCCUACUCCCUGACUGCACACGUGGUGACGAAGAAAAGCAAAGAAAACGGAAGAUGGCGCCUCCAUGUUGAACAUGCCUGGCUCCCAGGAGAGGAUGGUGUGGAGAACUGAAAUUCCGCUAAGAACACCUUAGGAUUCCCUAUAGGGUAAAGUGAAGAUCUUCAACUGGGCGUUGUGGAUUUAGAUGUGUAUGAGAAAUCCAGAUUAUCCUACAGGGUAUUACAAAGCUCAGAAUGGUAAACUUUAAGUCACUGUAGCUAGUUCUGAUUUUUACAAUUGAAAUUACACUUGAUGCCACUAUUUUCCAUAAGUGAUGCUUCUGACAUUUUAUGCAAACUUCAGUUUAUAUAUAAAAUUGGAUGCUCUGAAUGCUUUGAUUAGCAUGGUCUUACCUGAGCUAGUUAAAACAUGAUUUUAAUAAGACCAAAGAUCAAGAUUUCCUUCAGAAGCCAACUCCAAGUGAAGUUGUCCUCCUCAUGCGAACUACAGCUUAAAUUCCGGACAUAACAGCUUAGCUUCCAGGUGAGCUGAUAUCUGAUGAUAAAUUUUACUAGACAAAGCAAUCUUGCAAUUUAUCGCUACCCAGUUCAUGCUGUAGGUAUGUUUUAUAAUAAAAAUGUUGUCAUAGGAGCAAUUGGGGAGGUUAGGAACCUUGUAGCCUCUGGCUGCAAGACUCUAGUGCCAUAAUUUCUAACUUUGUGGUGGUUAGGUCCACGACUAUGCUAAAUGUCAUGCCCAGGGUUAGGUUCCAGCCCAUGCUGAGGUUCCGGGGAAGUGGGCGGGUGGCAGAUAGCUGAAAGACACUCGGCGGGGUGGUGUAGGCAGGUGAAAUGUAGUUUUAUUCAGCAGCUUUCUGGUCAGCAGCUCUCUUACACUGUCUGUCUUUAUGUCAGCUACCUGUCUUUAUGUCAGCUGUCUGUCUUUAUGUCAGCUGUCUGCUCCAGCUCUGCAGCUCCUACCGCCCCUGUGCCUGCAG
rnacentral:lncRNA from 10 species